UCUCUUCAUGGGAUAGUUAGAAAAACAAUCCCUUCCUAGCUAGAGAAUCAAGGACAACUGGUACCCAAAAAGCAUAAACAAGGGUGAGAGAAAGGGGGCAAGACAGGGGGCUGAGACUUCAUGGCCUGAGGCUGUGGUUGGAUAAUUGAUCCCAAGAUGCAGAUAAGCAAAACUUACAAAAGUGUAAAACUCAUGACCAGGAUCCAUCUGGGAUUUGAUUUGGGUGUAGCCCUGGCUGGGUUCUUGCACUGCCCAAGGUGGAUCCUUUCCAUAAAUACGUAUUUUAUUCCUUGUGCUCUGUUUGGUGUCUGUUCCAGGUCAGCCUUUCCAGGCAACACCCUCAUGCCAUGGGUGACCCAGACACUGCCCCCUUCUGCUCCUCACCAAUCCCUGCUUGCCCUUCUCUUCCCCUGGAGCUUCCUGGGGUGGCCCACAGUGACCAUCAUGGUGGAAGACCUUCUUUCUAAAAACCUGUGUUGUGCCUGAGGCUGACAGAAGAAGACACCACCAUGAGCUUCACAAAGGAUUUUGUUGGAUGACAGCACUUCUGCACUUUGAGCAGGUCAAAUCUCAGCCCAGCCUUUGGGAUUCCUACAGAUUCAUACACAUUGGCCAACAGUCUGUUGUGAUCACUGUCUCAUCUGACUCAAAAAUCAGCUUGUAUCAUUUCACUCAGUGAAAUGAAGACCAGCCCUUUCUCUGGAAAUCAGCCUUUAAGUGCCAGUUCUAAGGCCACAGCUCUGCAAAGUACAAGUUAGUGGUGACUGGAAGAAUCACUGGAGAAACAGGAAAAAAGUAAAAAGAGAGUUUGAAUAUUUGAGUCCUUAGACCUGUUCCUUUGGAUUUUUCUUUGUUUCCCUGCUCUCAAGAUGAGAAGUGAUUGGGCUCACUAGUUUUCACAGUGUGAACACCACUUAAACAUUUAGUUUACUUUUGGAAAUUUUGAACAAUGUUUUGCAAGCAGGGUAACACAGGCAACAAGACAGAAUAUGUUGUGAGUCAUCACUUUCAUUCUCAGUCAAAGUUCUUUAUUUUUCAGCUUCGUGGCAUUCUGGAUGUACUCACUAUGGGAACCACACCAAUGAUAUAAUAAUUGUUUUCACCCAAGAAAUUUAUCACCCUUCUUUGAGGGGGAACCAAAACUCUUGGUGAGCAGAAACUUUCCAGAUAUCCAAGGGCAAGAGUCAAAUUGCCCAAACUGUUUGGCUCUAAGCAGCUGCAAGGAAGACCAGCUUCAGGGAAAGGCAUUCAAAAUUAUUAUACUGCAGAUUUUCAUUUGCACCUGUGCAUGAUUAGCAUCAGAGUUGUGACUGAACGCCAGAAUUUCCAGAAUUUCUUUUAUCCUCCUGUAGUGGUGUUGUCUAGUUUUUGAAUUGUUAUUUACAAAAUUUAUAUGGUUUGGAAACAUUCUGUAAAAUGUGGAAAAUAAUAAAGAAUUUGAGAAAAGGAUUUGUGAGGGAGUUCCUGCAAUACUCUUGCAGGAAAAGACAGAAGCCUUGCUUUGAAAACUACCAGUGGAAUUGUUUAUAUCCAGAACAUUCCUAGCAAGUCUCUGCUUCUACAGUGUUUUAAAAAUUUCUCCUGAAAGUCCACAAUCCGUCCAGAAGCUCGCCUGAGUGACAGGGAGACUAAAAAAUAUGGAUUCUUAAAGUCUGAUUUCCAGGAGAUACAUAUUCAAGCUUCAAUAAAAAUUUUUUAAAAAACUUUGUUUUAGAUCCCCCUCAUUAAGAAAGUUUUUACAGGUUUUAAGUUUUUAAGGUUUUACAGAAUUACUGAUUUUCAAAUCCCGGCUGUAAAUGAGGUUCCUGCACCAAAGAACCUGCUAUUGAGUUAGAUUGCAUAUAGGCUACAGAGGGAAAACCACAUAUACAAGCAACAAAAGGCAAGCAGGUGAACUGAAGAUUUGGAGUUGAGAAUCAGUGGGUUCAUUCCUCUGAUUUCUCUCUCCAGUUCCUGGAUUUUGUCAGGGCCUUAUGGUGGGGCUGGGGAAGUUUCCUUCUUUCUGGCCAUUUUCACUGGUUCUCUUCUGGCUUGAUGGAAAUAUCACCAAAAAAAAGUGUAUUUUGAGGAAGAGGCCAUGGAAGAAUUCUCAGCAAAAUAAGAGUGGAUAUUAUUUAAAUAAUGGCAUCUGUGUGGCAGUAGGAGAAAGGGCUUUUUUUUUUUUUUUUUUUUUUUCAAUUGGGACUGAAGAAGCAUAGUGAAGACAAAUGGACCUUAGCUGUAAUCUGCAUAUGGCCUAUAACACCACAAUAAUUGUGUCCCAUUGCUAACCACUCUUAACCUGACUGCCACUUACCUUCUGGCAUUAGAGCAGGCACCCAGUGCACCAGGAAGAGGGGAAGGCUGGAAGCAGAAGUACACAGUCAGUUCCUCUUAGUGCAGGGGGGAAGUAUGCCCCAGCCUCACCACCAUGGGUACAGAGGAAAGGGAAGUUCUCAAACAAUCUGUGUUGGUUUUAGGUCCUUUAUUUAGGGAAAAAAAAAAAAAAAAAAGAACUUCUGGGAGCGGGAUGCUCUCCUGAGACCAGUAAGGAACAGCAGCCACGGGUUUAUGGAAAGAGGAAUGAGACUGAGAAUUGGCAGCUUUGUAAAUGUAAAAAAUAAAAGAUUAGAAGCUUACACAAAGUAAAUUGCACAAAGAAAAUGUGUGAAAAAGAUGGAAAGGGCUUAAGAGGUCUCACAAACCUCAGGAGACUGAAAAGAGAUAAAGCAAUAUUGUAAGUUUCAGAAUGUUGUACCAAAAGACAAAACAAAUAUAAAAUGAAAGACAUGAAUCUAAUGCAGAAGUUGAAAGGAGAAGCCUAG